rnacentral:rRNA from 1 species
UACGGAGGGGGCUAGCGUUAUUCGGAAUUACUGGGCGUAAAGCGCACGUAGGCGGCUUUGUAAGUCAGAGGUGAAAGCCCGGAGCUCAACUCCGGAACUGCCUUUUAGACUGCAUCGCUUGAAUCCAGGAGAGGUGAGUGGAAUUCCGAGUGUAGAGGUGAAAUUCGUAGAUAUUCGGAAGAACACCAGUGGCGAAGGCGGCUCACUGGACUGGUAUUGACGCUGAGGUGCGAAAGCGUGGGGAGCAAACAGG